GUGGGUGGAGUUUAUUAACACAGAGAGUGUCAACAAGACACUGCGUAAAUACUAUUUAUGUCAUCACUGUCUCUCUGAAGACAUCAUGUUUCUCUAUAACUGGAUAAUAAUUCAACUGUAUAUGGGAAGUUCUUUUGGUGACACAAUACAAUCGUGGUUUCCAAAAAAACAUUAUUCUGAGGGUGAAAAUAUGAAUCUGUCCUGUAACUACAGUCUCACUAGUGGCACCAGUGUUACUUUACAGUGGUAUCGCCAGUAUCUUGGAGAAAAACCAGAGUUUUUACUUUUGGUCACUGAAUAUUCAAACAAAUCUGUGCCUGAACUACGUCUAUUUUCAGAAGCUAAAAAAGAAAUCAAACGUGUGGAUCUGAAGAUCUCCUCUGCUGCUGUAUCAGACUCUGCUCUGUAUUACUGUGCCCUGAGGCCCACAGUGACAGGAAACACUACAACACUGUACAAAAACCUGACAUAUAGAACUGCAUCUGUAUUACACAAAACAGCUUCAUCCACUGAAACGAAAUACUAGUCAUUUUAAUUCUGAAGUCAUUCGAGGUCAGAACGGAACAUGAGUCAACAUUGUGAGAGACAUGAAAGUAAAGCCAGCGUUAAAACACCAUAUUGUUAUGAAAUAUCACACUGUCACUGAAUGACGAAACUUACUGAUCAAGUAUAAAAAGCGGCCAAGCCUUUAUUUACUGUAUGUUUUAGUAAAAAAAGUAAUACAGGUUAAUCAGAUGUAUGGUGUAUGUACAGCCUAAGAUUAAUAAUCGUACAUGUAAUAGUAAUGAAGUGAUAUACUGUAGUUUAAUAUACACACAAUAUA